GCCGGACUAGCUCAGUUGGGAGAGUGUUAGACUGAAAAUCUAAAGGUCCCUAGUUCGAUCCGGCUUCCGGCA